AGAGUUUGAUCCUGGCUCAGGAUGAACGCUGGCGGCGUGCUUAACACAUGCAAGUCGAACGAGCCUUCGGGCUAGUGGCGGACGGGUGAGUAACGCGUGGGAAUCUGCCCUCAGGAGGGGGAUAACGGCCGGAAACGGCCGCUAAUACCCCAUAUGCCGAGAGGUGAAAUGAAUUUCGCCUGAGGAUGAGCCCGCGUCUGAUUAGCUAGUUGGUGGGGUAAUGGCCCACCAAGGCGACGAUCAGUAGCUGGUCUGAGAGGAUGAUCAGCCACACUGGGACUGAGACACGGCCCAGACUCCUACGGGAGGCAGCAGUGGGGAAUUUUCCGCAAUGGGCGAAAGCCUGACGGAGCAACGCCGCGUGAGGGAUGAAGGCCUCUGGGCUGUAAACCUCUUUUCUCAAGGAAGAAGACAUGACGGUACUUGAGGAAUAAGCCACGGCUAAUUCCGUGCCUGCAGCCGCGGUAAUACGGGAGUGGCAAGCGUUAUCCGGAAUUAUUGGGCGUAAAGCGUCCGCAGGCGGCCUUGUAAGUCUGUCGUUAAAGCGUGGAGCUUAACUCCAUUUGAGCGAUGGAAACUACAAGGCUUGAGUGUGGUAGGGGCAGAGGGAAUUCCCGGUGUAGCGGUGAAAUGCGUAGAUAUCGGGAAGAACACCAGUGGCGAAGGCGCUCUGCUGGGCCAUAACUGACGCUCAUGGACGAAAGCCAGGGGAGCGAAAGGGAUUAGAUACCCCUGUAGUCCUGGCCGUAAACGAUGAACACUAGGUGUCGGGGGAAUCGACCCCCUCGGUGUCGUAGCUAACGCGUUAAGUGUUCCGCCUGGGGAGUACGCACGCAAGUGUGAAACUCAAAGGAAUUGACGGGGGCCCGCACAAGCGGUGGAGUAUGUGGUUUAAUUCGAUGCAACGCGAAGAACCUUACCAGGGUCUGACAUCCUGCGAAUCCCUUGGAAACGAGGGAGUGCCUUCGGGAGCGCAGAGACAGGUGGUGCAUGGCUGUCGUCAGCUCGUGUCGUGAGAUGUUGGGUUAAGUCCCGCAACGAGCGCAACCCACGUCUUUAGUUGCCAGCAUUCAGUUGGGCACUCUAGAGAGACCGCCGGUGAUAAACCGGAGGAAGGUGUGGAUGACGUCAAGUCAUCAUGCCCCUUACAUCCUGGGCUACACACGUACUACAAUGCUACGGACAAAGGGUUGCAAGCUCGCGAGAGUUAGCUAAUCCCAUAAACCGUGGCUCAGUUCAGAUCGUAGGCUGCAACUCGCCUACGUGAAGGAGGAAUCGCUAGUAAUCGCAGGUCAGCAUACUGCGGUGAAUACGUUCCCGGGCCUUGUAC
rnacentral:rRNA from 1 species